rnacentral:rRNA from 1 species
GGACUACCGGGGUAUCUAAUCCCGUUCGCUCCCCUGGCUUUCGCACCUCAGCGUCAGUUGCCUCCCAGGACACUGCCUUCGCCUUUGGUAUUCCUCCGGAUCUCUACGCAUUUCACCACUCCACCCGGAAUUCUAUGUCCCUCUGAGGCCCUCAAGAGUGAGCGUCUUCCCGGCACUCCCCUCGGUAAGCGAGGAGCUGGCACCGGAAACGCCUCACCCCACCUGCGUGCCCUUUACGCCCAGUAACUCCGGACAACGCUUGCCCCCUACGUAUUACCGCGGCUGCUGGCAC